rfam:Desulfosporosinus meridiei DSM 13257, complete genome.
GAUGUCAAGCAGAAGCCAUCCGCUUCUCACCUUACGGCAUUUGUCGGUAAGGUAUCUUCUGGUCCUGAGCUUAAUGUUUGCUUUGUGAUUGUUUAGAAGACGGGUGGUUAGCCAUCCGUCUUUUUGUUUUUUG